UCUCCUGGAAAAGGGUGGUAAUGCCGGAUGCUCCAGUUGAUCGCAUGGUCUUCUGGGAAAGCUUUCGCGGUAUGGGAUGGGGUCGCGUCCUAUCAGCUUGACGGCGGGGUAACGGCCCACCGUGGCUUCGACGGGUAGCCGGCCUGAGAGGGCGACCGGCCACAUUGGGACUGAGAUACGGCCCAGACUCCUACGGGAGGCAGCAGUGGGGAAUAUUGCACAAUGGGCGCAAGCCUGAUGCAGCGACGCCGCGUGAGGGAUGGAGGCCUUCGGGUUGUAAACCUCUUUUAUCGGGGAGCAAGCGAGAGUGAGUUUACCCGUUGAAUAAGCACCGGCUAACUACGUGCCAGCAGCCGCGGUAAUACGUAGGGUGCAAGCGUUAUCCGGAAUUAUUGGGCGUAAAGGGCUCGUAGGCGGUUCGUCGCGUCCGGUGUGAAAGUCCAUCGCUUAACGGUGGAUCCGCGCCGGGUACGGGCGGGCUUGAGUGCGGUAGGGGAGACUGGAAUUCCCGGUGUAACGGUGGAAUGUGUAGAUAUCGGAAAGAACACC
rnacentral:rRNA from 1 species